rnacentral:siRNA from 1 species
GAAGUUGGAAGCGCCUUUGUGAA